ACGGAGGGUGCAAGCGUUAAUCGGAAUUACUGGGCGUAAAGCGCACGCAGGCGGUUUGUUAAGUCAGAUGUGAAAUCCCCGGGCUCAACCUGGGAACUGCAUCUGAUACUGGCAAGCUUGAGUCUCGUAGAGGGGGGUAGAAUUCCAGGUGUGGCGGCGAAAUGCGGAGAGAUCUGGAUGAAUAGCGAUGGCGUAGGCGGCCCACAGUACGAAGUCUGACUGUCAGGUUCGAAAGCGUGUGGAGCAAUAAG
rnacentral:rRNA from 1 species